GACAGAGGGUGCAAACGUUGUUCGGAAUUACUGGGCGUAAAGGGCGCGUAGGCGGCCUUCUAAGUCGGAUGUGAAAUCCCUGGGCUCAACCCAGGAACUGCGUCCGAUACUGGAAGGCUUGAAUCCGGGAGAGGGAUGCGGAAUUCCAGGUGUAGCGGUGAAAUGCGUAGAUAUCUGGAGGAACACCGGUGGCGAAGGCGGCAUCCUGGACCGGUAUUGACGCUGAGGCGCGAAAGCCAGGGGAGCAAACGGG
rnacentral:rRNA from 1 species